UUCCGGAUUUUUCUAUUAAAAAUACACAGAGGGGAGAUUUGUCCCUUUGGCCUUUGUUGUACGUCAUCCGGAUUUAGCUUUCUGGUUUCGCUCGCUAGGGUUUCUCUUCUCAAAUCUCAAUCUAAUCGAAGAACAGAAAAGAGAGACCAAUAGGCGGUUACAACUAGGGUUCCAGUUUGUUAGAUUUUUCUGCUCCCUAUCUGCAACAUAUUUAUCAAUAAGAAUCCUUUUGUAUCUUGAUUUACAUGAAUGGAUACAAGUUCAUGCCUUGAUGAUCUCAACACCCUCUCAUCAUCUUCUUUACCGUCUCAAAUCCAUCAAAAUGAUAGAAACGUGCUUCAUCUGUUGGCAAGAAGGGAGAUAGCUCCUAGAACAGCAAAAUGCUUGCCAAAAAGGCAGUGGGGAGAAGUUUCUAAUCACAAACAUCAGUCAUUUGUUAAACCUGAAAGUGAAAGAGUGAGGAACUCAAGACGCGAACUUCUUUCAUGGGUGGAAGCUGAGUCCUUGCGAUGUUUAUCAGCCAAAUACUGUCCUUUGGUCCCUUCUCCUAGGUCAACCAUUGCAGCAGCAUUUAGUGCAGAUGGGAAAAUUCUUGCUUCUACUCAUGGUGAUCAUACUGUUAAAAUUAUCGAUUGCCAAACUGGAAAAUGUGAAAAGGUGCUGAGUGGUCAUCGAAGAACUCCUUGGGUGGUAAGAUGCAUGUGCAUUACUCACCUUUAUCCUUCUCUGAUUCAACUGUUGAAAUAUGUGCUGAUAUUGAUUGUGGUUUUACAGGUUAGAUUCCACCCACUGCAUCCAGAAAUACUUGCAAGUGGAAGUUUGGAUCAUGAAGUUCGAUUAUGGAAUGCGAAUACAUCAGAAUGCAUAGGGUCCCGUGAUUUUUAUCGGCCUAUUGCUUCAAUUGCCUUCCAUGCUGAAGGAGAACUUCUUGCAGUUGCUGCAGGCCAUAAGCUGUAUUUGUGGCAUUACAAUAGCAGAGGAGAAACUUCCUCACCUACUAUUGUAUUAAGAACAAGACGUUCUCUUCGUGCUGUUCACUUCCAUCCACAUUCUGCUCCAUUUUUGUUAACUGCCGAGGUCAAUGAUCUUGACUCUUCGGAUUCAACAAUGGCACCUGCGACAUCUCUUGGAUAUCUGCAUUACCCUCCACCCGCUGUAUAUAUGGGAAACAUGCAUUCCAUUGAUCGUCUAAGUUUAGCUGCUGAGCUUCCAUUGAUGCCUGUGCCUCUCUUCUGUUCUCCUGAUUCAAGGCCACAACUACAUAUUGGAAACAGAGACAACACACAAUCAGAAUCAUCCGAUCGACUUCAAGUUCUUGCAAAUGCAACAGAACUGUAUGAACAAAUGAUGGCUUCUUCUGUUCCAACUGAAAUGCAAAUGGAUGUCACUGAGGUACAACAACCACAACUUCCAGAUGACUACAGGGAAAACGCUCCUUCCAAUAUGGAUACUUCCGUGUCCACGGGUCGACCCACGGACGAUCUGUUCAGAGAGCGUGUGUGUUGGGAGUUGCCUUUCAUGCAAGGAUGGCUGGUGGGUCAAAGUCAAAGUCAAAGUCAAAACCAAGCUGAACAUUCUGGUAGUGGUAAUAGGGGGGAGGUUGUAGAGGCUUCGUUAGUUGUACCUUAUGGUACAAGGGAUGUUUCUUCAAAUACUGCUUCGACUUCUUCUUCUAAUAGGGUGAGUGGUGUGAUGAGUAAUGAUGGAAUUGGAGGUGAUAGUUUCCCUAUCAUUAGUAGAAUACAAUCUCAACUUUCUGCAUCAUUAAGUGCUACUGCUGCUGCUGAGUUGCCAUGUACUGUAAAACUAAGAAUAUGGCCUCAUGAUUUUAAAAAUCCUUGUGCUUCACUCAAGGCUGAAAAAUGUCGUCUCAUAAUACCACAUGCAGUACUUUGUAGUGAAAUGGGGGCGCAUUUUUCACCAUGUGGGAGAUAUCUAGCUGCUUGUGUGGCAUGUGUACUUCCACAGUUUGAAGGUGAUCCUGGGAUAUCAACACAACAUAAUAAUAAUCAUCAAGAAAGGGCGGGAACAUCUCCAACUAGACAUCCCAUUUCUGCUCGCCAAGUCAUGUAUGAGCUUCGGAUAUAUUCGCUCGAGGAUGCAACUUUUGGUACUGUACUUAUUUCGAGGCCGAUUAGAGCUGCUCAUUGUUUAACAUCUAUUCAGUUUUCGCCAACUUCUGAACACAUAUUGCUUGCUUAUGGUCGACGUCACAGUUCCCUUCUUAAAAGCAUUGUUAUUAAUGGGGAGACCUCGUUAUCCAUUUACACAGUUUUAGAGGUAUAUAGAGUUUCAGAUAUGGAACUUGUGAGUGUGCUUCCGAGUGCAGAAGAUGAGGUCAAUGUAGCUUGCUUUCAUCCUCUUGCUGGAGGUGGUCUUGUUUAUGGAACCAAGGAAGGCAAACUAAGAAUCCUUCAGCAUGAUGGUGGUCAUGCGCCCAGACCUGAUCACUUUUUUGAAGCAAGAGCAGUUGAGGUACAACCAUAAUGCAUGCAUACAGGUUGUCUAGACUCUAGAUACUACUUGUUCAGGCAUAUGCUUUAGAAUGUUGAACAUCAAUAUUGGGUGGUUAUAUUUCAGUAUUUCACAUCUCAGGAAGCUAAAACUGAUGCAGCCAGGUGAUUUUUUUUUUACCAUCUUUCGUUUGUAGCCUUCCACAUGUUUGAGCAUUUGCUUGUAUUUUAACAACUUGUUGUAUACACCCAUAAACUAGUCAUUACAAAUGGCUACAUUUUGGAUCAAUGUAAAUUAUUAAUUACUAGUUUGUCAACUUUUGCUAUUAA